rnacentral:rRNA from 1 species
UACGUAGGGGGCAAGCGUUGUCCGGAAUUAUUGGGCGUAAAGAGCUCGUAGGCGGCUUGUCACGUCGAUUGUGAAAGCCCGAGGCUUAACCUCGGGUCUGCAGUCGAUACGGGCUAGCUAGAGUGUGGUAGGGGAGAUCGGAAUUCCUGGUGUAGCGGUGGAAUGCGCAGAUAUCAGGAGGAACACCAAUGGCGAAGGCAGCUCGCUGGGACGUUACUGACGCUGAGACGCGAAAGCGUGGGGAGCAAACAGG